GUUUCAUUGGCUCGGAGUGCGCGAUCAUGGUGGGGUUCAAGGCUAACAAUCGGUGACCGGUGCACCCGGGGACAGUUAAACCGGAAGUUCGCCUUUCUCCAGCCAAAUAAGGAAACGAGAUUGGUCUGUGUCUCGUUAUAGGUUAUUACUCUCAAUCAGUCGAUCGCGAGAUCGUAGUCGUUUCUGGAUGAAACUAAAGAAGAGUAAGGUUAAAAUCACUUAAACACAACACUUUCCGUGGGAGUCAUUCGCUGGAAUGUUCUUAAGAGGUUACUUACCAAGGCUGGCCUAAGUUGCUGUUGUCAUCUUUGUAGGAGUUCAUAGCCUGAUAAGACACAGGCCUAGAGAGGAAUGAGCCAAAGAGAUGCUCUGUACUAUGUACAGUUAGUGUUACUAUGGGUUACCUGUGGCUUAUGAGCCUUUGUGAGCUCAAUCAGUGUAGAUUGUCAUCAUAUUCUGUGUUCAGCAUUAAUCCAAGAGUUUAUCAUAGCCUGCAGAGCAAGCUUAAUUUAGGCAAGUUAGUUUGGCUUUCUAUGAAAUCAUGACGGACAGCCGCCCGAACCAGUUUAGGUCCCUGAUGUUUCAGCCAACUGAAAGAAGAAAGAAGCCUAAAGCUCUUUGCAAAAUAAAACGGAAGGGUGUGCAUGUUGGGUGGGGCUGUUUGGUUGAUGAUGCUCCUGGUGAAACCUCUAACUUGACCAAGUACUUUAUCAUCACAAGCAGCAAGGCUAUUCCAAUAGGAAACUUUGAUGCCAAAGAAUAUGAAGUGGAGUUUAAGAAACGAAUGGUAAAGUGCUGUCGUCUAACAGAUAUUGCAAAGACAAUUCAUCAUGUUCUCUCUGGGUUAGUUCUGAUUGCUAUUUAUCCACAGUCGUAUGAAUUCAACCAUGCCAGUUGCAGACGGUACAAAUGCUGCAGUGUUUUGAAAAAAAGUCCCAAGGUACAUGUAGCCAUCAGUGAAAGUCCAUCCCAGUUCUUUUUUAUCGGAAGCAAACGCUAUGAUUUGCACUCAAAGGG